rnacentral:rRNA from 1 species
CAACAGUUGGAAACGACUGCUAAUACCGCAUGAUGUCUACGGACCAAAGUGGGGGACCUUCGGGCCUCACGCCAAAAGAUUAGCCCAAGUGGGAUUAGCUAGUUGGUAAGGUAAUGGCUUACCAAGGCAACGAUCCCUAGCUGGUUUGAGAGGAUGAUCAGCCACACUGGGACUGAGACACGGCCCAGACUCCUACGGGAGGCAGCAGUGGGGAAUAUUGCACAAUGGGCGCAAGCCUGAUGCAGCCAUGCCGCGUGUGUGAAGAAGGCCUUCGGGUUGUAAAGCACUUUCAGUAAGGAGGAAAGGUUAAGUUUUAAUAGAGCUUAGCUGUGACGUUACUUACAGAAGAAGCACCGGCUAACUCCGUGCCAGCAGCCGCGGUAAUACGGAGGGUGCGAGCGUUAAUCGGAAUUACUGGGCGUAAAGCGUACGCAGGCGGUUUGUUAAGCGAGAUGUGAAAGCCCCGGGCUCAACCUGGGAACUGCAUUUCGAACUGGCAAACUAGAGUGUGAUAGAGGGUGGUAGAAUUUCAGGUGUAGCGGUGAAAUGCGUAGAGAUCUGAAGGAAUACCGAUGGCGAAGGCAGCCACCUGGGUCAACACUGACGCUCAUGUCCGAAAGCGUGGGGAGCCAACAGGAUUAAUACCCUGGAAGUCCACGCCGUAAAC